UUUAAACUGAUUGGUUGAUUUUAUCAUCACAUUGUUUUUCACCAAUCAGAUCAGUUUGUUACAGAUUUUUGCACUGUGAUUACAGGAUCGGAAAUUGCAUUGUGAUUACAAUUGCAAACAAUUGCACUGUGAUUACAGAAAAUUGUACUGCUGUUUGGGAUUAACUGCACUGAAAUCAACCAAUCACAGUCGAAUAAUAUUUUUAUGUAUAUUAUUAUAGAAGAAAUACGUUUAGUUUCAUUGUUAUUAUUAACAGUAGUCAGUAACACAUUUGCCAAAUUUUAACUUGGCUGCCUUCGCCUCGAUCAGCGUGUUGUUAUUUUCCUAUGGCUCGGCUGUAAACCGACUGAAACACAUUAUCAUUGUAUGAGGCAAACAUGACGGAAUUAAUCGAAUUUCAAAAUAUAAACUAAAUAGACGGUCUUAUAUAGUAUAUAUGUACAAUCUGUGUCAUAUCCAUUCAAGGCCAAGAAACAUUUCGUCGUAGCGCAUUUAUAAAAUAUAAAACAUUAUUAAAGUAUUAUUGUUUUUGUUUGUGGAAACACCACGUAAAUGUAUUAUUAAAGUAUUGUUAAAAUUGUUUAUAUUGGCAUCCACGUUUUGUCGUUAUCGGAAAAUGUAUAUAGCUUAUAAGUUGUCAUUACUUAUCAGUGAAUGCGCGCAUGCAUGCAUGCAUGUGAAAUUGUUUUUUACUUGCAUUAUUUCAAUAUUAGUUUGUAAAUCUCUGAAUGGUAAAACUUGCUAACACUCCAAUAAUACGUUUCAAAAAAGACAAAAAGAGCUUUUAGUUUUGCAGAGUUACAUUCUCAAACAUGUAGGGCAC